rfam:Cephalotus follicularis DNA, scaffold: scaffold1773, isolate: St1.
AAAAAGGUUCUUUUAGGAACCAUUACCUAAGGUCUUUAAAUCCUUC